rnacentral:lncRNA from 1 species
AAAAUGCUGGAAACAGAUGUUCUGAAGCCUCUGACCUCUUAUCAUUAAUUUUAGAAUUUAAAUGCCUGUUAAUUUCCCCCUUUUAUUGCUGAGCUCCACACAGCAGCAUGUUCAAUGUCAAUGGGGAUAUCCUUUGGAGACAUUCAGUAUAUCAAAUCUGAAGGUCGCUGGAAAUCUGGGCACUUAGAGCAGGAGAGGAGGACCAGGAGAGAGGGGAAGGGCACCGUGGGGCACAGAGCGAGGUUGAGAAGAGGCUUCUUUGGCUGAAAUUGAGAGAUGAGCAGAAGACCUGAGUCUUCUGUCUGUCCUUGGCCGGUGCACACACGAAUAAGGGCUUUAGGGAGGAAACACACAUGACUCUUAGGAAAAUGGAAGCAGUGAUUUGAAGGAGCCUCCCUCACUCCCUGUGUCUGGCACCCUCUUUUUCCAUCUGAUGACCGAAAGGGGCUUACCAGGAGCUAUCACACAGCAGUGGACAGCACACAGAUCCUGGAGUCUGGCCGACCCGGGUUCAAGUUCUGCUUCCCUUGCUUUCGAGUGAGAAGACCUUCGAUACAUAUCUUCACUGAACCUCCAUUUGCUUGUGUGGAAAAUGGAGGUGAUAACACAAGGAGAAGUCAGCCAUCUAAAAACCAGGAAGUGGGCCCUCAUCAGACCAGAUCUUCCAGUGCCUUGAUCUUAGACUUCCCAGCCUCCAGAACUGAGCAAUGACAAAUAUCUGUUGUUUAAACCACCCAGUCUUAUGAUACAAAAAGAGGCCAGUUUACUUGCAGAGGUCGACCUCAGUGGACGCCUGUUCAGAUUUUCGAGUAUCUCUGGCAGAGUCUUGGGUUAGACAGCCCUUCCUGACACGGCCAUAGAUGGGAAGUCUGGAUUCAGAGUUCCUUGCCCAAAGUCCCUUUUGUAUUGAAUACAUUAAAUUGCAAUUUUU